GACAUCAUCCUGACCCAGACACCAAGAUCCCUGUUAACAUCUUUUGGAAAGAGGCACUCAAUCUUUUAUCAAGCAACUGCCCAUGUACAUGGAGAAAUCAGUUGGUUCCAGAUGAAACUGGACAGGGAUUUGCACUCGUUAUAUCUCAUAUCUCUAAUGUGCCCAAAAAUGUCCCGGCCUGGUUCCGUGGGAGGGGAAGUGGAUCCAACUACAUCAGCAUCAGUGGGCUGCAGCCU
rnacentral:lncRNA from 1 species